rfam:Triticum aestivum genome assembly, contig: Triticum_aestivum_CS42_TGACv1_scaffold_343655_4DL
CAAAUACUCCCUCCGUCCAGAAAUACUUGUCGGAGGAAUGGAUGUCUGUAGACGUAUUUUAGUUCUAGAUACAUCCAUUUUAUACAUUUCUCCGACAAAUAUUUCCGGACGGAGGGAGUAUAAG